CGCUAGCAGGAAGUAGCCAGGAGACAGGAAGUGAUUGUAUUCCUGCUCAGACUUCCAUUGUUUGUCAAGAAACUGUGUUUGACCGGAGAAGCGGAGUUGGCACCGCCUCCAACCACCGCACCAUGUCCUCCACCUCCUGGCCACACCUCCUCUGAGUCUGGACACUCCGCCCAACUUCUGCUAUCAAAAUGUGGAAACAUAAAACAUGUUCCUUUUCCCUGCAGGUGUUGUGAAUAUUCAUGAUGUGAGAUGGUGAUGAAGAUGAGGAGGACCACGCCCUGACACAAACCAGUCAGGCAGAAACCUGGAAGCCUGAAGGCCAGCACGUGGACCAGCUGAUGGAUACUGAUGAUGUCAUCAUUAUAGUGUGUCAUGGACUAUAGACCACAACACAAUGUAGACUCAUGUAGAUGAUGAUGUCAUCAUUAUGGUGUGUCAUGGACUAUAGACCACAACACAAUGUAGAGUCAUGUAGAUGAUGAUGUCAUCAUUAUGGUGUGUCAUGGACUAUAGACCACAACACAAUGUAGAAUCAUGUAGUUUGUUAUGGAUUUAACCAAAAUAGUCUGAUGUUUCAAACAUCUAUACUUGAAGAAGACAUUGUGAAAGCAGACAGCUGUCAAACAUCUACAAACCCCAUUUCCAUAUGAGUUGGGAAAUUGUGUUAGAUGUAAAUAUAAACAGAAUACAAUGAUUUGCAAAUCCUUUUCAACCCAUAUUCAGGUGAAUGCACUACAUAGACAACAUAUUUGAUGUUCAAACUCAUAAACUUGAUUUUUUUUGUGCAAAUAAUUAUUAACUUUAGUAUUUGAUGCCAGCAACACGUGACAAAGAAGUUGGGAAAGGUGGCAAUAAAUACUGAUAAAGUUGAGGAAUGCUCAUCAAACACUUAUAUGGAACAUCCCACAGGUGUGCAGGCUAAUUGGGAACAGGUGGGUGCCAUGAGUAUGUUUAAAAACAGCUUCCCAAAAAAUGCAAAGUAAUUCACAAACAAGGAUGGGGUGAGGGUCACCAAUUUGUAAGCAAAUUGUCGAACAGUUUUAGAACAACAUUUCUCAACGAGGAAUUUAGAGAGUUUACCAUCUACGGUCCGUAAAAUCAUCAAAAAAAUCAGAGAAUCUGGAGAUAGCACUGCACGUAAGCGAUGAUAUUACAGACUUUUGAUCCCUCAGGUGGUACCGCAUCAAAAACCGACAUCAGCGUGUGAAGGAUAUCACCACAUGAGCUCAGGAACACUUCAUAAAACCACUGUCAGUAACUACAGUUGGCCGCUACAUCUGUAAGUUGCAAGUUAAAGCUCUGCUAUGCAAAGCAAAACGCAUUUAUCAACAACACCCAGGAACGCCGCCGGCUUCGCUGGGCCCGAAAUCAUCUAAGCUGCACUGAUGCAAAGUGGAAAAGUGUUCUGUUGUCUGACGAGUCCACAUUUCAAAUUUUAUUUGGAAACUGUGGACGUGGUGCCCUCCAGAACAAAAAGGAAAAUAACCAUCUGGAUUGUUAUAGGCGCAAAGUUGAAAAGCCAGCAUCUGUGAUGGUAUGGGGGUGCAUUAGUGCCCAAGGCAUGGGUAACUUACACAUCUGUGAAGGCACCAUUAAUGCAAGUUUUGGAACAACAUAUGUUGUCAUCCAAGCAAUGUUAUCAUGGACGCCCCUGCUUAUUUCAGCAAGACAAUGCCAAGCCACAUGUUACAACAGCGUGGCUUUGUAGUAAAAGAGUGCCGGUACUUUCCUGGCCCGCCUGCAGUCCGGACCUGUCUCCCAUGGAAAAUGUGUGGCGCAUUAUGAAGCGUAAAAUACGACAGCGGAGACCCCGGACUGUUGAACGACUGAAGCUCUACAUAAAACAAGAAUGGGAAAGAAUUUCACUUUCAAAGCUUCAACAAUUAGUUUCCUCAGUUCCCAAAACGUUUAUUCAGUGUUGUUAAAAUAAAAGGUGAUGUAACACAGUGGUGAACAUGCCCUUUCCCAACUACUUUGGCACGUGUUGCAGCCAGGAAAUUCUAAGUUAAUUAUUUGCACAAAAAAAAAAUAAAGUUUAUGAGUUUGAACAUCAAAUAUGUUGUCUUUGUAGCAUAUUCAACUGAAUAUGGCUUGAAAAGGAUAUGCAAAAUCUUUGUA